rnacentral:lncRNA from 10 species
AGUGUCACCGCCUCCCCGCCGCAGACACUAUCCGACAAAGGAGGGGGAAUCAAAGGCUGGGCGAAGAGGCAGGGCAGGCGCCGGUGACGCUGCUGGGCAAGCGGGCUCUGCAGUAGCAUUUGUGGCGACCGUGGCAGUGGCUGUGACUGGAAGCUUCUGGAAAUGGCGGCGAUGAGGACCCCCACAUAGGGAUGGCCAUAGCAGCCACAAAAGGAAGCAAACAAGAACAAGUCCUGAUGGAGCAAUUUAUGAAGACAGGCAGCAUAGAGGGAGAAGAACCUGUCUGUCAACCCCACACACGCUUUCCCAGGUAAUUGCUCACCUCUGCCCUGUCUGACCUCUGUUUCUAGAGCCCAGCUCAGACUUACUGUAUGUCACCCCUCCACCACUAUUCCCUGGCUUUGCUAAUUUACCUGUUCCUGCCACAGAUUUACCUAAAGAAAGAACUUGUUCAGUUUAUAUCUUUUCAACCCCCUCUGGCUUUGCCCUUCACAUUGUGUCAUCAAUCCUUUAAGUCUGUUCUUUAGAGCCCUAGGGAAUCAUUUUUUAUUGGAGCCAGGAAAGUGACACCACAUAAUAUAAGAUCUUUCAAGAUGUCACAGCAUAUAAUACAAGUUACUAAGUAAUGAACAAUUAUCUACAAAGUCAGAACUUAGUUAAUAUCUUUGGAUUAUAGGUCUUGUUCACUACAAAAACAGAUAAAAAAGCAGUCAUUGUAUACUGUAAGAGCCUGAAACUUGUAGAGUAAGCAGCAAAAUGAUACUUAACUUUAAAAAAAAGACAACAGUAUUAUAUUUUGCAAUUUUUAAAUUUAUUUAUUAUUUUUGAGACAGGGUCCCACUUUGUCACCCAGGCUGGGAUGCAGUGAUGCAAUAAUGGCUCACUGCAGUCUUAACCUCCCAGGCUCAGGUGCUUCUGUCACCUCAGCCUCCCACGUAGCUGGGACUACAGGUGUGCGUCACCAUGCCUGGCUAAUUUUUGUAUUUUUCGUAGAGACAAGACCUCACCAUGUUGCCCUGGCUGGUCUUGAAUUUGUGGGCUCAAACAAUCUGUCCGCCUCAACCUCCCAAAGUGCUGGGAUUACAGGUGAGCCACUGUGCCCGGCCUGUAAUUUUUUAUGUUGCCUAUUGAUAGGCACCACUGCUGCUCUUUAAAUGUCAAUGAAAUUAUUUUGGAGAAACUUUCUUCACCUUUACUAGGUUUCUUCUUACGGUUUAAGCUCAGCUACCUCUUCUUUUCUGCCUAAAACUUUUCUCUUGAUCAAAUAUCAGAAUGGAAUAUGAUUUAAAAGUUUCAUUUUAGACGUCUCCUGAAAGCUGAGCAUUUGUUAUCUUAAAGCCUCUUACCAGUUUGGAUAGAUAUGGAUCUUCCAAAAUUAAUGAGCUCCUUAAUAUCGACACUGUUUAUCAACAUAAAGGAUCAAUUUAGGAAGAUUAUAAAAACUGAAGUUUCCGGAACAAUAAAUGGGAGAAUUAAUCUUCUGAAUCAAGGACGUAUCCCUGAAUCUGGGGAGCUCUCUAUCAAAAUAUACAUGCUGGAACCCUACCAAAGGAAUAAUAAAUCUGGAAUGAGGCUCUGACUGUCUAAUUAGGAAAAGACUCCUUCCUGGAAUUCUGCACAUCUCCCUACACCUUAGUGACGGUUAAAUAAAUAAUUAUUAAGCUUCUGGAUAUUUUUUGUUGUAAGGUUAGGUGUUUCAUGGGUUGGGGGGAGGGGCAGUAACAUUAAAAUAAAA